rnacentral:lncRNA from 1 species
CUGUGAGCAGCUCUUAACAUCCCUUCACCCUCACGGGUUCCAGGCAGGAUUUGUCCCUCGGGGGAGCCAUUACGGCCCGCCCUAGCCCGAGUGGAUUUGGCCCAAUUCCUUCCUCUGGGAAUUAGGUCGCCUCCUCCACUGCUCGAACCCUUGACCUCCCACUUUAAGGGAAUAGUCUGGUGAGAGUGAGUACCAAUUGUGCAAUUGGUACUCACUCUCACCAGACUAUUCCCUUAAAGUGGGAGGUCAAGGGUUCGAGCAGUGGGGGAGGCGACCUAAUUCCCAGAGGAAGGAAUUGGGCCAAAUCCACUCGGGCUAGGGCGGGCCGUAAUGGCUCCCCCGAGGGACAAAUCCUGCCUGGAACCCGUGAGGGUGAAGGGAUGUUAAGAGCUGCUCACAGUGGCUGGGCCCAGAGGAAGGUCACGGGCUGUGAGCGGUAACAGGGCCGGUCGAAAGGGGCCGGGCUGUUACAUAAAAAGGCGCU